UUUGUUUCAGGUAAGCCUAUUUGCUUCAACUAUAUUAGAAUGAAAUACAUUAUUUUUGCUUUCAUAUAAUGUUAAUGGAUCCUUUUGACGUUUACGCUACUUUAAACUGGUCUUGGACAAUUAGCUAACGUUAGCUUUUGGGGUAAGCAAGGGUUAAUGAAAUGUUCAUUUUAUCCAUGUACAAAUUAAUUUAGCAACGCUUUUUAUCCGAAGCGACUUAAUUUGGUCAAUUUACUUGUUACUUCAGGGCUAGUCUCCCUUAGAGCAACUUGGGCUGAGAUUUUAACACACAAUUUCCAGGUUAGCAUGCUAGCCUGAUUUCUUAACCGCUACCGCAUCCUCUGUAAGCCAGAAAAUAAUUGAGAUGUGUUCUAUGUAGUGAGAUACGUGUUUGUAUGUUAAAAUAAUGAUUUUAUACAGUUAGGCGUGUAUCCAAGUAUCAAAUGAUGAAUCAUGCCUUCUCCCUCCGCCCCCGUCUCUUCAGCCCCAGGACCGAGGCGUUCAGGUGGCGUGACUGGCGUGCCCUGUCUGCAAUCCUCCCUUUCACCCCAGGACCGAGGCGUUGAGGUGGCGUGACUGGCGUGAAUUCGGCGUGCCCUGUCUGCAAUCCUGCCUUUCAGUAAGGGGCAGUAAGGACAAGAUCCACCCACCACCCAGUGCAUGCUACAUAUGUGUGUGUAAUAAAUUGAGAGGGUGUGUGAUAAAUGAAAUUUAAUAAAGUAAGUACAAUUUUGAA